UUUCGUAGUUCACUUACUCGACUAAGAAUUGGGCUGUAAAGUGUACAUGUGUGUGCUUAGUUGUUUGAUUUGUUGAUUGAUUGAAUUGAACGUAUGAUUGUUUCUUGUGAUAUUGUUAUUGGAUGUGACUACAUAUGUGUGAUUAAGGAUAGUUGUGCAUACACGGAAGACGGUAAUGCCUUCGAAGGGUUAUAGAUGUGGUGGGAGGGCCGCAGGUGACCCUAUAUAUAAGUAUCUAUGACUCCUUGAAAGUAGAAUAAUAUGAAGUGUAUGUACCUUACGAAUGGUUAGUGUGAUGGACAUUUGUGGUAUGUUGAAGGACAAAGAUGGACAUGAUAGGCAUGAUGACUCAUAACGGGUACUCCAAGUACUUGAUGAUAUUAUUCAGGUACUUUACGUACUUGAUGACAUUAUAUGAUGACAUUAUACGGGUACUUUACUUGAUGACAUUAUACGGGUACAAUACGUACUUGAUGACAUUUGGAUGACGUGAGAACAUUUGUGAGAUAUUGAUGGACAAGUUUGAAGUCACAGAACAUGUUUGAUACUUAUUGCCCUUUUUAUUGCUUUUUCUUUUUCAUUAUACAUGUUCUAGCUAUUGUGUGGUUCAUGUAAUGGAUACGUGUGCGACUAUGUUGUGCUAUGAGCCAACCUCAAUUGAAGGCUUCUGCCAUGUAACCAAGCGAACCCAAGAACUUGACGAUUGCAUGCUAGAAGUUGGACUUGGACUAUCAUGGAUCGGUGAUUUAUUACCGGUGAUGUAAUUUGUUUAGGAUGAUUAGCCAUCUUUUGAUCUAUUUUGUAAACUUUUGAUGGUUGUAUGUUCCUUAUACUUUUGUGUAUAAAGUGUUGGGUUCACGGAAUCCUUUUAACUUCA